AUUUUCUUAAAACAAGGUCUCGUUACGAAUGUUAUUAUAUUAGUAAACACCUGUAAACUUUGUCCCCAGAAUUUUCAAACAGUCCCCUGCCAAAAAUUUAAAUCCAUAAUUAAAAAAAACAUCAAUAUUUACAAACGUUUUUUAGAGACAAACGAAAGGCAAUUAUUGUUAAGUUGGACGCCUUGCCGAAUGCGGCGACAAAACGUCAUUUUGUUUAGUGUCAGAGCGGCAUUUGUGGUGUGAACUCGCGUUUGAUCCGCUACCGCACACAGUCCUCUGGUCUAUCGAAAACACAUACACUAUGGUUCCUAA